rnacentral:rRNA from 1 species
AUGGCACACACCACACUCCUCCUCUACACUGUCAUCUCACUCUCGCUCUCCCUUGCAGCUUCAGUUCUUGCGCCACCGCCUGACACCACCCAACAAGCACCGACGACGGUGCGGGCCGGCUACUACUUCGCCGCCGACGCCGACCUCUGGCCCCUCUCGGCCCUCGACGUUUCCCUCUACACUCACCUCUACUACUCCUCUCUCUCCGUGCACCCCACGCGGCACACGCUCCAGCUCCCAGCCGACCUGGCCCAGGCGCGCCUCCUCGCCAACUUCUCCCGGGAGCUCAAAGGGAGGAACCCGGCGCUCAGGACCCUUCUCUCCCUCGCCACCGCCGGCGCCGAAGAUGCCGCAGCAGGCGCCACCACGGCAUCUGGGGACCCCGCGUUCGCCGCCAUGGCCGCGGACCCGACGUCGCGGGUCGCGUUCGUCGACGCGGCCGUUCGGGUGGCGCGGGAGAAUGGCUUCGACGGGAUCGACGUCGCGUGGCGGUUCCCGGCGUCAGCGGUGGAGAUGGCCGACUUCGGGUUCCUUGUGGCCGAGUGGCGCGCCGCGGCGCCCCAGGGGUUCCUGCUCACGGCCACCGUCUACUUCUCUAACCACGUGUUCGGCGCGCCGUUCGCCGGCGUGGACUACCCUUCGGAGGCGCUCGCGGGGAGCCUCGACUGGAUCAACGUGAUGGCGUUCGGGCUCCGGCCGGCCGGCGCAGCGGCCAACGUCACGGCCUUCGACGCGCCGCUGUACGACAGGGCGUCGCACUUCUCGGUGAGCUACGGCGUCGUCUCCUGGCUCGACGCGGGCGUCCCGGCGGGCAAGGUGGUCAUGGGGCUCCCGCUCUACGGCCGGUCGUGGUUCCUGCGCAAUAAGGCCAACAGCGGCGUCGGUGCGCUGGUCGUGGCCGCCGGGCCGAAGCAGCGCGGGAGCAACGCGACGGGGGCCAUGUCCUACGCCGAGGUGCAGGCGCUCACCGCGACCGCGGGCGGACGCGCGCCGGUGAUGACGUCGUACGACAACGCCUCCGUGUCGUCGUACCUGGCGGUGGGCGACGUCUGGGUCGCCUUCGACGGCGCGGCCGUCGUCGCCGAGAAGCUCGGCUUCGCCGCGCGGUGCGGCCUGCUCGGCUACUUCCUGUGGCCAGUGAACUACGACGACUCCAACCUCACGGUAACCAGGAGAGCAUCUGAGGUCUGGGAGCAGAGCAAAAUUUCGUCGGAUUUGAGGAACGUCACGGGCGUCCGGCAGGGGAAAGCCCCAUUUGAGCUGCCGCCGGCUCUCGGGUCGCCUUCGCCGGUGCCCGUGCCGACGUCCGCAUCGUUCUCAUGGCUGUGCCGGAAGAAGCUGCAUUUGUCUGUACUAAUUCUCCUCUUAUAUUAA